UGCAAGAUAUUUAGUUUGGUUUGGCGCCAUCUCGUUUAUUUUGUCUACGAUGGUGACUUCUGUAUUUCGAAUGACAGGAUUGGGCGUCGUACGUGAAAGAGCUCUUCACUUGGUUUUUACAUGAAUCCUUUGGCGGGUUAUUCGUGUCUUCAAACUUUUGACACAGUCGAGAUCUGCCAUAUGUGGUGAGAUCUAGUGUCUCCUAGACUGCUUUCUCAUUGUGUUAAGUAAACUUUUCCGAGCAUAAGUGUCACCUGCUGCAAUGAGACAUUUUUCUGCUGAGGGACAUCUCAAGGACACUGGUAAAUGAGUUGGCAACACUUCAGCUGCUCAUUCCUUGCCAAGGCUGCCAUGUGGGUCAGAUGUCACAGUAAGCUGACAGCUAAGCCAGUCAUUUGCUAGCAAGAUGCAGAUGUAAACAUUCCAUCAGAAGUGGAUGGGGGCACUUCCCUCAUCUUAAGAACAUGCCCACAUCUGGGGUCGCGGAGUGGCAAAACACAACAGCAAACCUUUAUAAUUUCAUCUACCAAUGGAACAACGAGUCUACAUAGCAUAAUAUAAAUGCAUAUCGUCAAAAUUCUCCAGCUCUACACAUACAACCAGCAAUCUUCAAGACAUCUAAUGAGGACAAGAAGUGUACAUAAUGAAAGCUAUGAAAUAUACCAGUUCAUGCAAAACCUAAGUCAUUCUACCAUAAAUCCAAUGUAAUCUAAUUGACUACAUUCCGAUUUGUAUAACUAAUUUACUGUUUUAUUUACUUAUUUAUGUGUGUAUGUAAAUAAAAAUUUUUAAUGAACAAC